rnacentral:rRNA from 1 species
UACGUAGGGGGCAAGCGUUGUCCGGACUUACUGGGCGUAAAGCGCACGCAGGCGGACGCGCGCGUGGGGUGUGAAAUCUGGCCGCUUAACGGCCAGGCGCCAUCCCAUACGGCGGGUCUGGAGUGAUGCAGAGGGCGGUGGAAUUGCCGGUGUAGUGGUGAAAUGCGUAGAGAUCCGGAGGAACACCAGAGGCGAAAGCGGCGCUCUGGGCUGCACCUGACGCUGAACUGCGAAAGCCAGGGGGAGCGAACGGG